UUUAUGAAAUUAAAAUAAUUUGGCGGUAUUUUAGUCUAUUCAGAGGAAUUUGUUUUAUAAUCGAUAAUCCCCGUUAAAUCUUACUUAUUUUAUUUAAUUUGUAUAUUGUUGUCAUUAGAAUAUUUUAUAAGAAUAAUAAUUUUCUUAAAUUAUUUAAAAUUUUAUGUCAAAUCAAGGUGCAGUUUAUAUUUAAGUAAAAAUGAAUUACAUUAAUAUAUAAUUAAAUGAAUUAAAAAUUGAAACAUUUUUAUGAAGGUGGAUUU
rnacentral:rRNA from 1 species